rnacentral:lncRNA from 1 species
UUGGACUCUCGCCUGUGCUCUCUGGGGGAUCCACGGGAUAGUCCCCCGAUUCUAGGAACUGGCAGGGGGAAGCAAGCCUAAAGAAACAUCUAGUGAAGCUUCAGAUCCAGAGAGAAGACCUUCAAGCAAUGGCCCUGGUAAGCAUUCGGUACUGCUGUCUGCUUCUAGAAAGAGAGAAGAACAGUAACAAAUAGAAUCGAAGCCUGGAAAGUUCAAAAAUUUGCUUUUAGAAGGAUAACUCAAGGAAGCACAGAUGGCAGAGGCUGCAGCUGAAGCAGAGCGCUCUGCUGGCGGGACAGCCAUCGUGUCCAGCACCCAGAGUAAUGGGCCAUUCAGCCUAGUGGAAGGCACAUGAGCUGCUCCAUCAACCUUCC